rnacentral:rRNA from 1 species
AUUGAACGCUGGCGGCAUGCUUUACACAUGCAAGUCGAACGGUAACAGGUCUUCGGAUGCUGACGAGUGGCGAACGGGUGAGUAAUACAUCGGAACGUGCCUAGUAGUGGGGGAUAACUACUCGAAAGAGUAGCUAAUACCGCAUGAGAUCUACGGAUGAAAGCAGGGGACCUUCGGGCCUUGUGCUACUAGAGCGGCUGAUGGCAGAUUAGGUAGUUGGUGGGGUAAAGGCUUACCAAGCCUGCGAUCUGUAGCUGGUCUGAGAGGACGACCAGCCACACGGGGACUGAGACACGUCCCAGACUCCUACGGGAGGAAGCAGUGGGGAAUUUUGGACAAUGGGCGAAAGCCUGAUCCAGCAAUGCCGCGUGCAGGAUGAAGGCCCUCGGGUUGUAAACUGCUUUUGUACGGAACGAAAAGCCUGGGGCUAAUAUCCCCGGGUCAUGACGGUACCGUAAGAAUAAGCACCGGCUAACUACGUGCCAGCCGCCGCAGUAAGAC